rnacentral:rRNA from 1 species
CUUAAGUGGGGAAUAACGCAUCGAAAGGUGUGCUAAUACCGCAUAAUCUCUGAGGAGAAAAGCAGGGGAUCGCAAGACCUUGCGCUUUUGGAGCGGCCGAUGUCUGAUUAGCUUGUUGGUGAGGUAGAAGCUUACCAAGGCUUCGAUCAGUAGCUGGUCUGAGAGGACGACCAGCCACACUGGGACUGAGACACGGCCCAGACUCCUACGGGAGGCAGCAGUGGGGAAUUUUGGACAAUGGGGGCAACCCUGAUCCAGCCAUGCCGCGUGAGUGAAGAAGGCCUUCGGGUUGUAAAGCUCUUUCAGCCGGAACGAAACGGUUACGGUUAAUACCCGUGACUACUGACGGUACCGGAAGAAGAAGCACCGGCUAACUACGUGCCAGCAGCCGCGGUAAUACGUAGGGUGCGAGCGUUAAUCGGAAUUACUGGGCGUAAAGCGUGCGCAGGUGGUUUUGUAAGUCAGAUGUGAAAUCCCCGGGCUCAACCUGGGAACUGCGUUUGAAACUACAAGGCUAGAGUGUGGCAGAGGGGGGUGGAAUUCCGCGUGUAGCAGUGAAAUGCGUAGAGAUGUGGAGGAACACCGAUGGCGAAGGCAGCCCCCUGGGUCAACACUGACGCUCAGGCACGAAAGCAUGGGGAGCAAACAGGAUUAGAUACCCUGGUAGUCCAUGCCCUAAACGAUGUCAACUAGUUGUCGGGCCUUAACGGGCUUGGUAACGUAGCUAACGCGUGAAGUUGACCGCCUGGGGAGUACGAUCGCAAGAUUAAAACUCAAAGGAAUUGACGGGGACCCGCACAAGCGGUGGAUUAUGUGGAUUAAUUCGAUGCAACGCGAAAAACCUUACCUACCCUUGACAUGUAUCGAAGCCCGCAGAAAAGUGGGUGUGCCCGAAAGGGAACGAUAACACAGGUGCUGCAUGGCUGUCGUCAGCUCGUGUCGUGAGAUGUUGGGUUAAGUCCCGCAACGAGCGCAACCCUUGUCAUUAAUUGCCAUCAUUUAGUUGGGCACUUUAAUGAGACUGCCGGUGACAAACCGGAGGAAGGUGGGGAUGACGUCAAGUCCUCAUGGCCCUUAUGGGUAGGGCUUCACACGUAA